rnacentral:rRNA from 1 species
UACGUAGGGGUCGAGCGUUGUCCGGAGUUACUGGGCGUAAAGCGUGCGCAGGCGGCUCAUCGCGCUCGGCGUGAAAGCCCCCGGCUCAACCGGGGAGGGUCGUCGAGGACGGGUGAGCUUGAGGGUAUCAGGGGUUGGUGGAAUUCCCGGUGUAGUGGUGAAAUGCGUAGAGAUCGGGAGGAACACCCGUGGCGAAGGCGGCAUCCUGGACCGGCAUUGACGCUGAGGCGCGAAAGCCAGGGGAGCAAACGGG